GACGAACCGUGCGAACGUUGUUCGGAAUCACUGGGCUUAAAGGGCGCGUAGGCGGGCUCACAAGUCAGGGGUGAAAGCCCACGGCUCAACCGUGGAAGUGCCUUUGAUACUGUGGGUCUUGAGGGAGGUAGGGGCGUGCGGAACUUCCGGUGGAGCGGUGAAAUGCGUAGAUAUCGGAAGGAACACCGGUGGCGAAAGCGGCGCGCUGGACCUCCACUGACGCUGAGGCGCGAAAGCCAGGGGAGCAAACGGG
rnacentral:rRNA from 1 species